AUGCAGUCGAACGGAGCUGCCUUGAUGAAGUUCUCGGAUGGAUUUAAAACAGCUUAGUGGCGGACGGGUGAGUAACGCGUGGGUAACCUGCCUCACACUGGGGGAUAACAGUUAGAAAUAGCUGCUAAUACCGCAUAAGCGCACAGUUCUGCAUGGAACAGUGUGAAAAACUCCGGUGGUGUGAGAUGGACCCGCGUCUGAUUAGCCAGUUGGCGGGGUAACGGCCCACCAAAGCGACGAUCAGUAGCCGGCCUGAGAGGGUGAACGGCCACAUUGGGACUGAGACACGGCCCAAACUCCUACGGGAGGCAGCAGUGGGGAAUAUUGCACAAUGGGGGAAACCCUGAUGCAGCGACGCCGCGUGAGUGAAGAAGUAUUUCGGUAUGUAAAGCUCUAUCAGCAGGGAAGAAAGUGACGGUACCUGAAUAAGAAGCCCCGGCUAACUACGUGCCAGCAGCCGCGGUAAUACGUAGGGGGCAAGCGUUAUCCGGAUUUACUGGGUGUAAAGGGAGCGUAGACGGCAAGGCAAGUCUGAAGUGAAAGCCCGGUGCUUAACGCCGGGACUGCUUUGGAAACUGUUUAGCUGGAGUGCCGGAGAGGUAAGCGGAAUUCCUAGUGUAGCGGUGAAAUGCGUAGAUAUUAGGAAGAACACCAGUGGCGAAGGCGGCUUACUGGACGGUAACUGACGUUGAGGCUCGAAAGCGUGG
rnacentral:rRNA from 1 species